AAGGGAAUCUUUCGCUAUGGGCGAAAGCUUGACGGAGCAUCGUUGCGUGAGUGAUGAAGGUCUUCGGAUCGUACAACUCUGUUAUUAGGGCAGAACAUAUGUGUAAGUAACUAUGCACGUUUUGACGGUACUUAAUCAGAAAGCCACGGCUAACUACGUGCCAGCAGUCGCGGUAAUACGUAUGUGGCAAUCGUUAUCUGGAAUUAUUUGGCGUAAAGCGCGCGUAGGCGGUUUUUUAAGUCUGAUGUGAAAGCCCACGGCUCAACCGUAGAGGGUCAUUGGAAACUGAAAAACUUGAGUGCAGAAGAGGAAAGUGGAAUUCCAUGGGUAGAGGAGAAAUGCGCAGAGAUAUGGAGGAACACCAGUGGCGAAGGCGACUUUCUGGUCUGUAACUGACGCUGAUGUGCAAAAGCGGGGGUAUCAAACAUG
rnacentral:rRNA from 1 species